rnacentral:rRNA from 1 species
AACGAACGCUGGCGGCAUGCCUAACACAUGCAAGUCGAACGAGACCUUCGGGUCUAGUGGCGCACGGGUGCGUAACGCGUGGGAACCUGCCCUUAGGUUCGGAAUAACUCCCCGAAAGGGGUGCUAAUACCGGAUAAUGUCUUCGGACCAAAGAUUUAUCGCCUUUGGAUGGGCCCGCGUUGGAUUAGCUAGUUGGUAUGGUAAAAGCCUACCAAGGCGACGAUCCCUAGCUUGUCUGAGAGGAUGAUCAGCCACACUGGGACGGAGACACGGCCCAGACUCCUACGGGAGGGAGCAAUGGCUAAUAUUGGACAAUGGGCGAAAGCCUGAUCCAGUAAGGCCGCGAGAGUUAUGAAGGCCUUAGGGUUGUAAAGCUCUUUUACCCGGGAUGAUAAUGACAGUACCGGGAGAAUAAGCUCCGGCUAACUCCGUG